GAGACGGUGGCCGGCAGACGAAACAUGGCCUGCUGACCCUGUGGUGACCCCUGAGACACACCGCUCUGACCGAGAGGAAUCGCAGGAGUCCCGGGAGCAAACGGAGAGCCUGGACACACACAGAAGCAGAGAUGAUGCAGCUGUCAGGGUCAUGCUGCAGGUUGUGUGGCAGCUGCAGUGCUGAGACUGAGACUGGAACAGCUGCACGACUCUGACGCAGGAAACACAGUCAAACAGCGAGUGGCAGCUCCACCACAGCAGCCAGAAAUAACUAAAGUUCCGAUCAGACGGAUCCGGCUCACAGCUCACCUGCGCUCGCUCUCAUCAUCAUGUGACUCCACGCCUCUCAACAUUCAGCAGUCCUUACAGACAAGCUCCAGCGCUUCUGUAGAUUCAUGCUAACGAUCCUCCUCCACAACCACAAUCAAAGCCCCUAGAGAUGAGGGACGUUAUACUGAAUCCCAGGAGGGCAAUCUGACAUUGCUGUAAACAGCAGAUGACCCCUGACCCCUGACCCCACACACACCUGACAUGAAGGUGAAUCCUGCAGGCAGCUGCAUGACUCCGGUGCUCUUCGCUGUGUUCCCGGCGGCU